rnacentral:rRNA from 1 species
GCAUAAUCAAUAGUCUUUUAAUUGGGGACUGGAAUGAAGGGUUGAAACUAAAAAGAAAGUUUUAUUUUAUAGGUUUGAAUUUAAGUUAAAAGUAAAAAUGCUUUUAUGAAACUUUGGGACGAGAAGACCCUAGAAGCUUAAAAUACUUAAAGGAAUUUUUGGUUGGGGCAACAUUUGAAGAUGAAGAUUUUUAUGAAAAGUAUAAUAUGAAAUAUUGAAGUUACUCUAGGGAUAACAGCAUUAUUUAAUUAGCAAGUUCUUAUUAAUAAUUUAAGUUUGUGACC